GGACAAGUCGCUGGAACAACAAGGGCUGCACCCUCCUGUGUGGAUGCAUCUAUAGUAGCUCAGAAGUGGUGGUGUCAGAUGCAGCCGUGUUUGGAUGGUGAGGAGUGUAAAGUCCUGCCCGACCUUACAGGCUGGAGCUGCAGCACAGGAAACAAGGUGAAGACCACCAAGGUGACCCGAUAGUUCUAUGCUCCAAGCAGAUGCAACUUACUGGGGACAAAAGUUAUGAAAGUGAAGACUAACUAGAGACAGCAUUGAGCUUCAGCUAACAGGAUCGAUCAGUAUUAGUCAAAGAUUAUUUGCAAUCAAAACAUCUGAGGAGCAGACUGAUCUCUGGAAAUAUAUCCACCAUAAACAUCAGGACCAUCCUGAAGUUAAUGUGUCCUCCUCAAUGGACCCCCUGGCCUUCUGGACACUCGAUCUUCUGGGUGUGGAUCCAUAACCUCUGGAAUGUGUUGGCUGGGGGGUCUCAUUGUAUGUAUGCAGUUGUUGUUUUUUUAUUUUUAUUUUUUAUUUACAGAAGUUUGGAUCAUCUACACCAGUGCAGCCCAAUGGAGUUUAAGCUUUUCAGUAACAUGCUCUCCUUCCUUGCCCUUCAGUUCUUCCGACAAUUCCAUAAUCAUUCCUGCUCUACCUGAUCAGAAGGCCCGAUCAUUUCUUGUGGAAUCCUUUAAACAGCAUUUAAACAUGUAAAAUCAAUCUGGACCUCUAACGGACUCAUCUUCUGUAUAUUGUUUGUUUCUAAAUUAAAGCUUUUCAACCCCACAGUCUGAAAUAAAAGAAUAGAUGUACC